rnacentral:rRNA from 1 species
UACGUAGGGUGCGAGCGUUGUCCGGAAUUACUGGGCGUAAAGAGCUCGUAGGUGGUUUGUCGCGUUGUUCGUGAAAACUCACAGCUCAACUGUGGGCGUGCGGGCGAUACGGGCAGACUGGAGUACUGCAGGGGAGACUGGAAUUCCUGGUGUAGCGGUGGAAUGCGCAGAUAUCAGGAGGAACACCAGCGGCGAAGGCGGCGCUCUGGGCCGGUACUGACGCUGAGGAGCGAAAGCGUGGGGAGCAAACAGG